rnacentral:rRNA from 1 species
UACAGAGACCCCGAGCGUUAUCCGGAUUUACUGGGCGUAAAGUGCGAGCAGCCGGUCGUAUUAGUCCGAUGUCAAAUGGCGAGGCCCAACUUCGUCGCUGCAUUGGAAACGGUACGGCUUGAGUGGGUAAGAGGUAGGCGGAACGUGUCGUGUAGGGGUGAAAUCCACUGAUAUGACACGGAACACCGAAAGCGAAGGCAGCCUACUAGUGCCCUACUGACGGUCAAUCGCGAAAGCGUGGGGAUCAAAAAGG